GCUCAAUGGGCGAAAGCCUGAAGCAGCAACGCCGCGUGUGUGAUGAAGGCCUUCGGGUCGUAAAGCACUUUUCUGGGAGAUAAGAAAGGACAGUAUCCCAGGAAUAAGUCUCGGCUAACUACGUGCCAGCAGCCGCGGUAAAACGUAGGAGGCGAGCGUUAUCCGGAAUCACUGGGCGUAAAGCGCGUGUAGGCGGCCGGGCAAGUCGGGUGUGAAAUCCCGAGGCUCAACCUCGGAACUGCACUCGAAACUGCUCGGCUCGAGUCCCGGAGAGGGUGGCGGAAUUCCCGGUGUAGGGGUGAAAUCCGUAGAUAUCGGGAGGAACACCAGUGGCGAAGGCGGCCACCUGGACGGUGACUGACGCUGAGACGCGAAAGCGUGGGGAGCAAACAGGAUUAGAUACCCUGGUAGUCCACGCCGUAAGCGGUGAGUGCUAGACGUCGCGGGUAUUGACCCCCGCGGUGUCGCAGCUAACGCGUUAAGCACUCCGCCUGGGGAGUACGGCCGCAAGGCUA
rnacentral:rRNA from 1 species